rnacentral:rRNA from 1 species
GCGGAGGAAAAGAAACCAACAGGGAUUGCCUCAGUAACGGCGAGUGAAGCGGCAACAGCUCAAAUUUGAAAUCUGACCCCUUCGGGGCCCGAGUUGUAAUUUGUAGAGGGUGUUUCGGGCGCGGCGCCGGUCUAAGUUCCUUGGAACAGGACGUCACAGAGGGUGAGAAUCCCGUAUGUGACCGGCGAUCAAGCCCAUGUGAAGCCCCUUCGACGAGUCGAGUUGUUUGGGAAUGCAGCUCAAAAUGGGUGGUAAAUUCCAUCUACAGCUAAAUAUUGGCCGGAGACCGAUAGCGGACAAGUAGAGUGAUCGAAAGAUGAAAAGCACUUUGGAAAGAGAGUCAAACAGUACGUGAAAUUGUUGAAAGGGAAGCGCUUGCAAUCAGACCGGUCCGGGGGUGAUCAGCCGCUGCUCGUCAGCUGGUGCACUCGCCCCCGAUCCGGCCAGCAUCGGUUUGGGCGGUGGGAGAAAAGCCCCGGGAAUGUAGCUUCUUUCGGGGAGUCUUAUAGCCCGGGGCGCAAUGCCGCCCGCCCGGACCGAGGACCGCGCUUCGGCUAGGAUGCUGGCGUAAUGGUUGCAAGCGACCCGUCUUGAAACACGGACCAAGGAGUCUAACAUCUAUGCGAGUGUUUGGGUGUCAAACCCAGGCGCGGAAUGAAAGUGAACGGAGGUGGGAGCCCGUCGCACGGCGCACCAUCGACCGAUCCAGAUGUCUUCGGAUGGAUUUGAGUAUGAGCAUAGCUGUUGGGACCCGAAAGAUGGUGAACUAUGCCCGGAUAGGGUGAAGCCAGAGGAAACUCUGGUGGAGGCUCGCAGCGGUUCUGACGUGCAAAUCGAUCGUCAAAUCUAGGCAUAGGGGCGAAAGACCA